AUUGAACGCUGGCGGCAGGCCUAACACAUGCAAGUCGGACGGUAGCACAGAGAGCUUGCUCUUGGGUGACGAGUGGCGGACGGGUGAGUAAUGUCUGGGGAUCUGCCCGAUAGAGGGGGAUAACCACUGGAAACGGUGGCUAAUACCGCAUAACGUCGCAAGACCAAAGAGGGGGACCUUCGGGCCUCUCACUAUCAGAUGAACCCAGAUGGGAUUAGCUAGUAGGCGGGGUAAUGGCCCACCUAGGCGACGAUCCCUAGCUGGUCUGAGAGGAUGACCGGCCACACUGGAACUGAGACACGGUCCAGACUCCUACGGGAGGCAGCAGUGGGGAAUAUUGCACAAUGGGCGCAAGCCUGAUGCAGCCAUGCCGCGUGUAUGAAGAAGGCCUUCGGGUUGUAAAGUACUUUCAGCGGGGAGGAAGGCGGUGAGGUUAAUAACCUUGCCGAUUAACGUUACCCGCAGAAGAAGCACCGGCUAACUCCGUGCCAGCCGCCGCAGUAA
rnacentral:rRNA from 1 species